GGGUCGUCCAGCGCUGGAUGAAAUCGCGCAGGGGCUCGUUCUGCUUCUGGACACAGUGUUGGAGCUCCACGAGACCAGCAGGGCGCUUGCACGUGCCCUCGAAGGUCUUGAUGAAGACUCGGGACAGAUCUGCCCAGCUGUAGAUGCUUGACGGAGCUAACUGGUUUAGCCAAGCUCGCGCCGAGCCGUCGAGCAUCAGGGGGAGAUGUUUCAUGGCGA
rnacentral:lncRNA from 1 species